AUUGAACGCUGGCGGCAGGCCUAACACAUGCAAGUCGCACGAGUGGCGGACGGGUGAGUAAUGUCUGGGAAACUGCCCGAUGGAGGGGGAUAACUACUGGAAACGGUAGCUAAUACCGCAUACCAUCGGAUGUGCCCAGAUGGGAUUAGCUAGUAGGUGGGGUCACGGCUCACCUAGGCGACGAUCCCUAGCUGGUCUGAGAGGAUGACCAGACACACUGGAACUGAGACACGGUCCAGACUCCUACGUGAGGAAGCGGGUGGGAAUAUUGCACAAUGGGCGCAAGCCGGAUGCAGCCAUGCCGCGUGUAUGAAGAAGGCCUUCGGGUUGUAAAGUACUUUCAGCGAGGAGGCGUUACGCGCAGAAGAAGCACCGGCGAACGCCGUGCCAGCAGCCGCGGUAAUAC
rnacentral:rRNA from 1 species